ACCGGCGCACGGGUGCGGAACGCGUAUGGAACCUGCCCCUGUCAGGGGAAUAGCCCAGGGAAACUUGGAUUAAUGCCCCAUGGUACCGUUAUAUCGCAUGAUAUUUCGGUUAAAGAUUUAUCGGACAGGGAUGGCCAUGCGUACCAUUAGUCAGUUGGUGGGGUAACGGCCCACCAAGGCAGCGAUGGUUAGGGGCCCUGAGAGGGGGAUCCCCCACACUGGUACUGAGACACUGACCAGACUCCUACGGGAGGCAGCAGUGAGGAAUAUUGGACAAUGGGCGGGAGCCUGAUCCAGCCAUGCCGCGUGCAGGAUGACGGCCCUAUGGGUUGUAAACUGCUUUUAUACGGGAAGAAACGCACCUACGUGUAGGUGUCUGACGGUACCGUAAGAAUAAGGACCGGCUAACUCCGUGCCAGCAGCCGCGGUAAUACGGAGGGUCCGAGCGUUAUCCGGAAUCAUUGGGUUUAAAGGGUCCGUAGGCGGGCCUGUAAGUCAGGGGUGAAAGUUUGUGGCUCAACCAUAAAAUUGCCUUUGAUACUGCAGGUCUUGAGUCAUGGUGGGGUCGCCGGAACAUGUGGUGUAGCGGUGAAAUGCAUAGAUAUCACAUAGAACACCGAUCGCGAAGGCAGGUGACCAACCAUGUACUGACGCUGAUGGACGAAAGCGUGGGUAGCGAACGGGAUUAGAUACCCCGGUA
rnacentral:rRNA from 1 species